AAUAUUGGACAAUGGGGGCAACCCUGAUCCAGCCACGCCGCGUUUGUGAAUAAGGUCUUCGGAUUGUAAAGCUCUUUAAGCUGGGAGGAAGGGCUUUCGGUUACUACCCUGAAUUCUUGACGUUACUAACAGAAUAAGCACCGGCUAACUCGGUGCCAGCAGCAGUGGUAAUACAGAGGGUGCAAACGUUAAUCGUAAUUACUGGGCGUAAAGCGCGCGUAGGUGGUUCAGUAAGAUGGGUGUGAAACCCCCGGGCUUAACCUGGGAACUGCUUUCAUAACUGCUGAGCUAGAGUACGGUAGAGGGUAGUGGAAUUUCCUGUGUAGCGGUGAAAUGCGUAGAUAUAGGAAGGAACACCAGUGGCGAAGGCGACUACCUGGACUGAUACUGACACUGAGGUGCGAAAGCGUGGGGAGCAAACA
rnacentral:rRNA from 1 species